CCUGCCCCUAGAAGCAUUGCAGGUAAGGCUGCUGUGUCACAUGUGCGUCAGUAGGUGGCAGAAAGGAGAAAGGCUAUGUCUAAGUUGAGCAUUCUGACCUUUGACCAUCUGAAUGAUUAGUAGCCAAAGUGA